rnacentral:rRNA from 1 species
AACGAACGCUGGCGGCAGGCUUAACACAUGCAAGUCGAACGCAUCGCAAGAUGAGUGGCAGACGGGUGAGUAACGCGUGGGAACAUACCCUUUUCUACGGAAUAGCUCUGGGAAACUGGAAUUAAUACCGUAUACGCCCUACGGGGGAAAGAUUUAUCGGGGAAGGGUUGGCCCGCGUUGGAUUAGCUAGUUGGUGGGGUAAAGGCCUACCAAGGCGACGAUCCAUAGCGGGUCUGAGAGGAUGAUCAGCCACAUUGGGACUGAGACACGGCCCAACCUCCGACGGGAGGCAGCGGUGGGGAAUAUUGGACAAUGGGCGCAAGCCUGAUCCAGCCAUGCCGCGUGAGUGAUGAAGGCCUUAGGGUUGUAAAGCUCUUUCACCGAUGAAGAUAAUGACGGUAGUCGGAGAAGAAGCCCCGGCUAACUUCGUGCCAGCCGCCGCGGUAAUAC